GCCACUCAGCAGGUGAUUCUUGGUAUGACUGAAGGGGCCUGGUGACCUUUCUGACUCAGUUUCUUCCUUUGUCUGUAGGAAGCGAUGGUCUCACUAAUUGAAGUCGGUAGCUAGCGUGCUUUGAGAUCCCUGUAUGAGCCCUGCUUUUUCAAGGCGCGUGAUUGCACCCUGCGAUCUUCUACACCAAAGGGGUGAAGUCACACACAUGGAGAAAGAGAGAGGAGGCAACAAAUGUCUCAUAAACACGGUAAUUAACUCUAUGUUACUUUCAAGAUUUGAGGAUGUGCCAAAAGUUGACCCCCAGAGUGUGGAGUGAAUACUGCUUUGGAAAUCAUCGAGAAUCAGUGCUUCAGGAACAUAAUUUACAGGCACAGUAGCUAGACAGCAAGAUUUGCAGUGGAAAAUUCCUCUCACUCCCAGGUUAAAGGAUGGGGAUAAUUCUCCAUCCUUUCUGGACAGGAAAAAUGUGCUUCGAAAUAUGUAAGAGGAAGGCAGAAAAAAGUUUAAAGGGGGGAAUCUACAUGAAUAUUCAUAUGAUCCUGAACGCUCUUGACUAUUUCUAGGGAAAGAUAUAUUGACAUGAAAUCUACUUGGAGGAUUUUCUAUUUUACUUAAAAGGGGAAAAUAGCCAUAAAACUGUUUCUUUCUCUUGUCAACAGCAGUAGAAACCCCCUUUCCACCAAAUGAAGUAAAGGCUACUGUGUCUUAGAUUUUGGGAGGUCUUGUGUAACUACUUGAAUGUCUGUAAACAGGAAAAUAGAAUAGUCCCCCUUCUCUGCCACAUCCCAAAUCAAUGGUUUGACCUUUAAAUUAAAAAUGUUGUAUUAGUUGUUACAGAAGCAAAAUGCCCUAUUAUCCAAAUAGAAUCAUAUGUUUUUUCAAACCUGGUCAUUUAAAAAAAUGUUUCUUAAUGUUUAUUUAUUUUUGAGAGAGACACAGAGAGUGUGAGUGGGGGAGGGGCAGAGAGAGAAGGAGACACAGAAUCUGAAAGACCCUCCAGGCUCCCUGCUGGCAGCGCAGAGCCUGACACGGGGCUCCAAUCCACGAACUGAGAGAUCACGACCUGAGCCGAAGCCGGAAGCUAAACCAACUGAGCCACCCAGGCACCCGUCAAACCUGGUCAUUUAUCAGAAUACUUCUGAAACCUGAUUUCAGGAUUCUUCCUUUCCCUUGAUUGAAUAGAAUCUUUUUAAACCAUAUAAUUUAAAGGUAUAAAAGAACAGCAUUGUAUUUAAGGAAUUCCAAAAUGGUUAUGUGGACUUCUGGCUUGAACUUGGACAUGAUCUCUCAAGAGACUGCAUAUGUGGUACUUAUAU
rnacentral:lncRNA from 1 species